GAUCUUUGUUACACUAUUUCAAAUAUGAUCCCCCCCCCAUAAAAAGAGAGAAGAUCAAAUGACCAAAAUCUAGGUAAGUGA